CAGUCGCCGCGGUAACACCGAGGGUGCAAGCGUUAAUCGGAAUUACUGGGCGUAAAGCGCGCGUAGGUGGUUUGUUAAGUUGGAUGUGAAAUCCCCGGGCUCAACCUGGGAACUGCAUCCAAAACUGGCAAGCUAGAGUAUGGUAGAGGGUGGUGGAAUUUCCUGUGUAGCGGUGAAAUGCGUAGAUAUAGGAAGGAACACCAGUGGCGAAGGCGACCACCUGGACUGAUACUGACACUGAGGUGCGAAAGCGUGGGGAGCAAACAGGAUUAGAUACCCCUGUAGUCCCUGUCUCUUAUAA
rnacentral:rRNA from 1 species